GACGAACGCUGGCGGCGUGCUUAACACAUGCAAGUCGAACGAUGAAGCUGGAGCUUGCUCCGGUGGAUUAGUGGCGAACGGGUGAGUAACACGUGAGCAAUCUGCCCUUGACUCUGGGAUAACUGCGGGAAACUGUAGCUAAUACCGGAUACUUUCACUGGAAGGCAUCUUCUGGUGAAGAAAGAAUUUCGGUCAAGGAUGAGCUCGCGGCCUAUCAGCUUGUUGGUGAGGUAACGGCUCACCAAGGCGACGACGGGUAGCCGGCCUGAGAGGGUGACCGGCCACACUGGGACUGAGACACGGCCCAGACUCGUACGGGAGGCAGCAGUGGGGAAUAUUGCACAAUGGGCGAAAGCCUGAUGCGGCAACGCCGCGUGAGGGAUGAAGGCCUUCGGGUUGUAAACCUCUUUUAGCAGGGAAGAAGCGAAAGUGACGGUACCUGCAGAAAAAGCACCGGCUAACUACGUGCCAGCAGCCGCGGUAA
rnacentral:rRNA from 1 species